CGCACAUUGCGCCUUUUGGUAUUCCGAGAGGCACGUCCGUUUGAGCGUCAGUAAAACCCUUCCGGUUCACGGUUUAUUGCCGCGGCCGGGUCCAUGGCGUGGGGAGGUGACCGCGGCGCUUCGGUGCCGGCAGGUUUCCCCCGCUUAAACGCGGAGAAAGCUAGCGGGCAUGUGCCCGGAUUUGCGACGACUCGUAGAAUUUUCUUCUGUCAUAGCGUCCGGUAGCAUUGCCCCGCCUCUAACUCAGCGGCAGCCCUUUUUAGCGGCGGCCAGAUUUUUUGACCUCAAAUCGGACGAGGAUACCCGCUGAACUUAA
rnacentral:misc_RNA from 1 species